UACGUAGGGUGCGAGCGUUGUCCGGAAUUAUUGGGCGUAAAGAGCUCGUAGGCGGUUUGUCACGUCGGAUGUGAAAUCCCGGGGCUUAACUCCGGGCCUGCAUUCGAUACGGGCUGACUAGAGUUCGGCAGGGGAGACUGGAAUUCCUGGUGUAGCGGUGAAAUGCGCAGAUAUCAGGAGGAACACCGGUGGCGAAGGCGGGUCUCUGGGCCUUACCUGACGCUGAGGAGCGAAAGCGUGGGUAGCGAACAGG
rnacentral:rRNA from 1 species